rnacentral:lncRNA from 1 species
GUGGAGCUAUGAAUUUGAGGGUAAUGGUUCUUUUCUUUUUGACUUCUUCCUCUUGAUGUUGCUUCAUGCUCAGCUCAUGAGUCAUCAAUGAUCCAAGAAGCUCUUCCAAGGGUAGAAUGUUCAAGUCCUUAGCUUCUUGGAUGGCAGUCACUUUAGCUUCUCAAGUUCUUGGUAGGGACCUGAGAAUCUUUCUUACAAUCUC